rnacentral:rRNA from 1 species
GUAGGGAAUAUUGCGCAAUGGGGGAAACCCUGACGCAGCAACGCCGCGUGGAGGAUGACACUUUUCGGAGCGUAAACUCCUUUUGUUAGGGAAGAAUAAUGACGGUACCUAACGAAUAAGCACCGGCUAACUCCGUGCCAGCAGCCGCGGUAAUACGGAGGGUGCAAGCGUUACUCGGAAUCACUGGGCGUAAAGGACGCGUAGGCGGAUUAUCAAGUCUCUUGUGAAAUCUAACGGCUUAACCGUUAAACUGCUUGGGAAACUGAUAAUCUAGAGUAAGGGAGAGGCAGAUGGAAUUCUUGGUGUAGGGGUAAAAUCCGUAGAUAUCAAGAAGAAUACCUAUUGCGAAGGCGAUCUGCUGGAACUUAACUGACGCUAAUGCGUGAAAGCGUGGGGAGCAAACAGGAUUAGAAACCCCAGUAGUCC